rnacentral:rRNA from 1 species
GACGAACGCUGGCGGCGUGCUUAACACAUGCAAGUCGAACGGAAAGGCCCUGCUUUUGUGGGGUGCUCGAGUGGCGAACGGGUGAGUAACACGUGAGUAACCUGCCCUUGACUUUGGGAUAACUUCAGGAAACUGGGGCUAAUAUCGGAUAGGAGCUCCUGCUGCAUGGUGGGGGUUGGAAAGUUUCGGCGGUUGGGGCUGGUCUCGCGGCUUAUCAGCUUGUUUGUGGGGUUGGGGCUUCCAAAGGCUUUGACGGGUAGCCCGCCUGAGAGGGUGACCGGGCACAUUGGGACUGAGAUACGGCGCAGACUCCUACGGGAGGCAGCAGUGGGGAACAUUGCGGAGUGAGCGGAAGCGUGAUGUAGCAACGCCGCGUGCGGGAUGCCCGGUUUCGGGUUAAAAACCACUUUGGCCGGUGACGAAGCGUGAGUGACGGUAAUGGGUAAAGAAGCACCGGCUAACUACGUG